rnacentral:misc_RNA from 1 species
UCUCGGCUUAUCACCGGCAGUCCCCCUAGAGUGCCCAACUAAAUGAUGGCAACUAGGGGCGAGGGUUGCGCUCGUUGCGGGACUUAACCCAACACCUCACGGCACGAGCUGACGACAGCCGUGCAGCAUCUGUGCACGCUCCCUUGCGGGGAGGAAUCCAUCUCUGGAAGCCGUCGUGGCAUGUCAAGGGCUGGUAAGGUUCUUCGCGUUGCGUCGAAUUGAACCACAUGCUCCACCGCUUGUGCGGGCCCCCGUCAAUUCCUUUGAGUUUCAGCCUUGCGGCCGUACUCCCCAGGCGGGGCACUUAACGCGUUAGCUCCGACACCGAAGGGGUCGAUCCCUCCAGCAUCUAGUGCCCAUCGUUUACGGCGUGGACUAC